rnacentral:tRNA from 1 species
GGGGUAUUAGCUCAGCUGGGAGAGCGUCCCGAUGGCAUCGGGAAGGUCAGCGGUUCGAACCCGCUAUGCUCCACCA